rnacentral:other from 1 species
UGCUCCCUGGGAUUCGCGUCAGCCGGCAAUGUCCCUGUGCCGAUAUCUACAAAACCCAGGGUGAAUGUUUUAUUGACAUUGUGCAUGCUCGGCUCGUAUCGAGAAGCCUUAGGAGAUAAUCAUUUACCCGCCUUGAACUACGGUUCAAGGGCUACGUUGGCAACGGUUUUUUGGGGAGCAA